AGCCGAAAAUGGUACUAUUUAGC
rnacentral:siRNA from 1 species